UUGGAUUGUAAACCCCUUUUCUCAAGGAAGAACAAAAUGACGGUACUUGAGGAAUCAGCCUCGGCUAACUCCGUGCCAGCAGCCGCGGUAAUACGGAGGAGGCAAGCGUUAUCCGGAAUUAUUGGGCGUAAAGCGUUCGUAGGCGGCUGUUCAAGUCUGCUGUCAAAGACCGAGGCUCAACCUCGGGUCGGCAGUGGAAACUGGAUAGCUAGAGGUCGGUAGGGGCAGAGGGAAUUCCCAGUGUAGCGGUGAAAUGCGUAGAUAUUGGGAAGAACACCGGUGGCGAAAGCGCUCUGCUGGGCCGAACCUGACGCUGAGGGACGAAAGCUAGGGGAGCGAAUGGGAUUAGAUACCCCAGUAGUCCUAGCCGUAAACGAUGGAAACUAGGUGUGGCCUGUAUCGACCCGGGCCGUGCCGAAGCUAACGCGUUAAGUUUCCCGCCUGGGGAGUACGCACGCAAGUGUGAAACUCAAAGGAAUUGACGGGGGCCCGCACAAGCGGUGGAGUAUGUGGUUUAAUUCGAUGCAACGCGAAGAACCUUACCAGGGCUUGACAUGCCGCGAAUCUUGCUGAAAGGAAAGAGUGCCUACGGGAGCGCGGACACAGGUGGUGCAUGGCCGUCGUCAGCUCGUGUCGUGAGAUGUUGGGUUAAGUCCCGCAACGAGCGCAACCCUCGUCCUUAGUUGCCAUCAUUAAGUUGGGCACUCUAGGGAGACUGCCGGUGAUAAACCGGAGGAAGGUGGGGAUGACGUCAAGUCAUCAUGCCCCAUAUGUCCUGGGCUACACACGUACUACAAUGGUCGGGACAACGAGCAGCCAACUCGCAAGAGUGCGCUAAUCUCUUAAACCCGGCCUCAGUUCAGAUUGCAGGCUGCAACUCGCCUGCAUGAAGGAGGAAUCGCUAGUAAUCGCAGGUCAGCAUACUGCGGUGAAUCCGUUCCCGGGCCUUGUACACACCGCCCGUC
rnacentral:rRNA from 1 species